rnacentral:misc_RNA from 1 species
GGAGUAAAAGUCGUAACAAGGUUUCCGUAGGUGAACCUGCGGAAGGAUCAUUAUUGUAUAACCGAGGUGCGAGGGCUGUCGCUGACCCGAAAGGUCGUGCACGCCCGAGUGCCCUCACACACAUCCAUCUCACCCCUAUGUGCACCACCGCGUGGGUCCCCCUUUGGCUUGUUCGGAGGGGGGCUUACGUUUUCACACAAACUUUGUAUGCAGUGUAGAAUGUAUUUUUUGUUUUUGCGAUCGCGCAAUCAAUACAACUUUCAACAACGGAUCUCUUGGUUCUG